rnacentral:rRNA from 1 species
UUAUAUAUAAAUAUAAUUUAUUUUAUUAUAAAAUUUUAUUUAAUUAAGAAAAUACAUGAAAUUUUUUGAUUGUUAAUUAAUUCUUAAAGGGUUUUAAUAAUUCUCAGUAUUAAA